rnacentral:rRNA from 1 species
GAUGAACGCUGGCGGCGUGCCUAAUACAUGCAAGUCGAGCGAACAGACGAGGAGCUUGCUCCCCUGACGUUAGCGGCGGACGGGUGAGUAACACGUGGAUAACCUACCUAUAAGACUGGGAUAACUUCGGGAAACCGGAGCUAAUAUCGGAUAAUAUAUUGAACCGCAUGGUUCAAUAGUGAAAGACGGUUUUGAUGUUACUUAUAGAUGGAUCCGCGCCGCAUUAGCUAGUUGGUAAGGUAACGGCUUACCAAGGCAACGAUGCGUAGCCGACCUGAGAGGGUGAUCGGCCACACUGGAACUGAGACACGGUCCAGACUCCUACGGGAGGCAGCAGUAGGGAAUCUUCCGCAAUGGGCGAAAGCUUGACGGAGCAACGCCGCGUGAGUGAUGAAGGUCUUCGGGUCGUAAAACUCUGUUAUUAGGGAAGAACAAAUGUGUAAGUAACUAUGCACGUCUUGACGGUACCUAAUCAGAAAGCCACGGCUAACUACGUG